AUUGAACGCUGGCGGCAUGCUUUACACAUGCAAGUCGAACGGUAACAGGGUGCUCGCACCGCUGACGAGUGGCGAACGGGUGAGUAAUGCGUCGGAACGUGCCGAGUAGUGGGGGAUAACGCAGCGAAAGUUGUGCUAAUACCGCAUACGUACUGAGGUAGAAAGUGGGGGACCUUCGGGCCUCACGCUAUUCGAGCGGCCGACGUGCUGAUUAGCUAGUAGGUGAGGUAAAGGCUCACCUAGGCGACGAUCAGUAGCGGGUCUGAGAGGAUGAUCCGCCACACUGGGACUGAGAACCGGCCCAGACUCCUACGGGAGGCAGCAGUGGGGAAUUUUGGUCAAUGGGCGAAAGCCUGAUCCAGCCAUGCCGCGUGUCUGAAGAAGGCCUUCGGGUUGUAAAGGACUUUUGUCAGGGAGGAAAUCCCUAGUGCUAAUAACACUGGGGGAUGACAGUACCUGAAGAAUAAGCACCGGCUAACUACGUGCCAGCCGCCGCAGUAA
rnacentral:rRNA from 1 species